rnacentral:rRNA from 1 species
CAGCAGCCGCGGGAAUACGUAGGUGGCAAGCAUUGUCCGGAAUUAUUGGGCGUAAAGGGCUCGCAGGCGGUUUCUUAAGUCUGAUGUGAAAGCCCCCGGCUCAACCGGGGAGGGUCAUUGGAAACUGGGAAACUUGAGUGCAGAAGAGGAGAGUGGAAUUCCACGUGUAGCGGUGAAAUGCGUAGAGAUGUGGAGGAACACCAGUGGCGAAGGCGACUCUCUGGUCUGUAACUGACGCUGAGGAGCGAAAGCGUGGGGAGCGAACAGGAUUAGAUACCCCCGUAGUCCCUGUCUCUUAUAC